CGAGCGAAAAGAAAACAGUUCAGCACUAAGUCACUUUGUCUAUAUGGCAAAUGUGAGAUGCAGUGUAUGGAGCGUCAAUAUUCUAGUAUGAGAAAUUAACGAUUUAAGUCCUUCUUAAAUGAGGCCAUUUACCCAUAGAGGGUGCCAGGCCCGUAUAACGUUAAUGAUUACUAGAUGAUGUUUCCAAAGAGUCGUGUUGCUUGAUACGUG
rnacentral:rRNA from 1 species